rnacentral:rRNA from 1 species
UAGGGAAUCUUCCACAAUGGACGCAAGUCUGAUGGAGCAACGCCGCGUGAGUGAAGAAGGUUUUCGGAUCGUAAAGCUCUGUUGUUGGUGAAGAAGGAUAGAGGCAGUAACUGGUCUUUAUUUGACGGUAAUCAACCAGAAAGUCACGGCUAACUACGUGCCAGCAGCCGCGGUAAUACGUAGGUGGCAAGCGUUGUCCGGAUUUAUUGGGCGUAAAGCGAGCGCAGGCGGAAUGAUAAGUCUGAUGUGAAAGCCCACGGCUCAACCGUGGAACUGCAUCGGAAACUGUCAUUCUUGAGUGCAGAGGAGGAGAGUGGAAUUCCAUGUGUAGCGGUGGAAUGCGUAGAUAUAUGGAAGAACACCAGUGGCGAAGGCGGCGCUCUGGUCUGCAACUGACGCUGAGGCUCGAAAGCAUGGGUAGCGAACAGG